UCAAACAUACGGAAAACACUGUGAAAAUAAUUGUUCUGAAACUUGUGUUGGAGGAUGCAACAUCAGCACGGGCCAUUGUGAAAAGUGCAGCUCAAACCAGUUUGGUUUCUUUUGCAACGAGACGUGUGGACAGUGUAGGGAAAGACCAAAUGAGGACAGUUGUGAUGACGUCAAUGGCAUCUGUGUCCAUGGAUGUGAAAAAGGAUUUACAGGGAGUUUAUGUAAUGAAGGAUGUAAUGGAACAUCAUUUGGAUAUAACUGCAAUCAAUCCUGCAGUGAAACUUGUAAACCGAUCCCUGAUUCCCGACUAUGUAAUAGUUCAACAGGUCAUUGUACAAGUUGUGUGGUUGGAAAGAA